GCAGUAGUGGUUCAGUGCUAGAAAUCUCACUUUCCACGUGGGAGAACAGGGUUUGAAUCCUGGCCAAUGCA
rnacentral:tRNA from 1 species